GGGAGCCAUGUGUAAUAAAGUGAGACUUUAAAAUAAUAUUCUCGUUAAGUUGCCAAAUAGUUGGGCUCCAUACGAUAAUUUCUUGGUCCCCUCUUCUUACAAUGCAUCUCCUAGGCCUCUUUUCACAAAUUCCAGAGCCGUCUCCAUGGGUUACUGCUUCGCUUCUACUCGACACAGAGUACUCAACACCCCAAAUGGAGAAACUUGGCCAGGAGUCUUCUUUCCUCAAGUGUCCUCCUAAGUGUGAAAAUUGAUGUUGCUUUCCUAUGCUGACUAAAAUUUCUUCUUCUAACGAGCAUUAUGAAAUCAUAGAAGAUAUGUAUGUUUAGUUUUUAGAGAACAUACAUGUUUGUUGGUCUACCUUGGGGCGUGGGCCAUCUUGUCCUAUGGUCAGAUAUUAUAACAUUUGCAACUUGCAAAAUUGAUUGGAUUGGCCUUUCUAAGUUUUAA